rnacentral:rRNA from 1 species
AUGUGAUCGUCUCUCGCAUAUCAAUAAGCGGAGGAAAAGAAACUAACAAGGAUUCCCCUAGUAACGGCGAGUGAAGCGGGAAGAGCUCAAAUUUGAAAUCUUAAAGGGUUUCCCUUUACGAAUUGUAGUUUAAAGAAGUGUUUUCUGUUGAGGUUUUGGUAAAAGUUUUUUGGAAUAGGACAUCAUAGAGGGUGAGAAUCCCGUAUUUGACCUUUACUUUCAACUUUGUGAUACACUUUCAAAGAGUCGGAUUGUUUGGGAAUGCAGUCCAAAAUGGGUGGUAAAUUUCAUCUAAAGCUAAAUAUUGGCGAGAGACCGAUAGCGAACAAGUACCGUGAGGGAAAGAUGAAAAGAACUUUGAAAAGAGAGUUAAACAGUACGUGAAAUUGUCAAAAGGGAAGCGUUUGACACCAGUGUUGUUUUUCUGAAAAUCAAUUAAAGAACUGUUUAUGCUAAGCUUGUUUAGACUUUAUCAGCUAACUGUUUAGUUUUGAGCUUUUCUUUAAUGCACUUUUCAGUUAACAAGUCAACAUCAAUUUCUUUUGCUGUAAAAAAGCUUGAGGAAGGUGGCUUGAGAUUCGUCUUAAGUGUUUAUAGCCUCUUGCCUAUGCAGUCGGAGAGAUUGAGGUCUGCAGCGUAGAUCCUUCGGGGCUAAAUGCAUUUGUGCUAAGUUAUAGCAUUUUAUAGACAACUUGUUGACUAUGAUUUGUCUUGUAGCUUACUCGCUUAUGUUAUUUUACCUACGCUUAGGAUGUUGAAGACUCUACAGAGAUA